rnacentral:rRNA from 1 species
UAAUACGGAGGUUGCAAGCGUUGUUCGGAAUGACUGGGCGUAAAGGGAGCGCAGGCGGCUUGUUAAGUCUGGAGUGAAAGCCCGGGGCUCAACCCCGGCGGGUCUUCGGAUACUGGCAAGCUUGAGUAUGGAAGAGGAGAGCGGAAUUCCAGGUGUAGCGGUGAAAUGCGUAGAUAUCUGGAGGAACACCGGUGGCGAAAGCGGCUCUCUGGUCCAAUACUGACGCUCAUGCUCGAAAGCGUGGGGAGCAAACGGG